rnacentral:misc_RNA from 1 species
GCUACUACCGAUUGAAUGGUUUAGUGAGGACUCCUGAUUGGCGCCGCCGCCCCGGCAACGAAGCAGCGGACUGCCGAAAAGUUGUUCAAACUUGAUCAUUUAGAGGAAGUAAAAGUCGUAACAAGGUUUCCGUAGGUGAACCUGCAGAAGGAUCAUUCCGCGAUGCUACUACCGAUUGAAUGGUUUAGUGAGGACUCCUGAUUGGCGCCGCCGCCCCGGCAACGGAGCAGCGGACUGCCGAAAAGUUGUUCAAACUUGGUCAUUUAGAGGAAGUAAAAGUCGUAACAAGGUUUCUGUAGGUGAACCUGCAGAAGGAUCA